AAGAACCUUGACGUGUAGAAUAAAAGUUUUCCUUCCCAACAUUUGGCAUAAUCAGUAGGAUACACUUCCCUCACUGGACACUGUUUGCUUUGAGGCUCUUGCAGCUGACACAUCCUGGAACAUCUGACAAACAGCCAGCAGAAGACAAAAGGUUAACUCUGAUGCUACUGCAAAAGUCUUUCAUCUUCAAAGACAUUCAGGGAAAGGACUCUGACAAGUGCUCUCGAAUACAGGUCUCUACUAACUUUAAGAUCAUGCCAUUGAACUGGAAAUGCCUCUUAUUUAAUACCUGCUUGAACCAUGAGCCUAACUUUGGGAACACACAUCCAUCACCACUUCCUGAAAUGAAUUUAGUAGAACUGACCUAUUUUCAACUCUAAGAGACUAGCUCAGUGAGAUAAAACAAUCUACCAGCUCACAUUUUAGUAUGUGGAGUUUCUAAGGAACUCUAGGGGCCCAGGCCAGGCCACCCUAAAAUAUGCCACUUUGUCAUGUUAUUUUGAAUUAAAGCUAUUUAAGAACAGAAGAACAUUCUGACUCUCUUUGUCUCCAGAUAGCAGGAAAUAAAUCUCCAAUGUGAAAGCUAUCCUUCCUGCAUCAGGGAGCAGAAAGACAUCCUUAUCACCUGAAAUAGGUAUUUAGAGCCAAGAAGACUGUAUAAAUCAACAAGUCUUGUUACUUUUACUAGUUUACUACCUCAGCCCAAAUUCUGUUUAGAAUUGUAUGCUAAUUAAAGCCAAUGAACAUAAGUUUUCUCUGCUUUGUCCAUUCCUCACAGAUUUAUGGUUCUUUGCCUAAACAUACAACAGCUGCUUGCUUUGGUCAUGUGGGGAGUCUCAAUUUCAUUAUU